rnacentral:lncRNA from 1 species
UGCACUCGGCUAGAUGCCGCCAGUCCAGGUACCUGGAUUCCGAUACAGAACACGAAGAAGUAAGAGGAGGAGCAGGAAUUCCUUGGCACUGGGAACAGUGUCUGGCAUGACUGCAGGGCAUAUCCGUGAAAAUGUUCAGGAGGCCUUCAGAUGGAUGUGCUGCUCAAGAGCUGCUACGACCCAAGUUCAAGUUAUUGGCCUUGCUGUUACCAUGGUAAUGAUGGAUGACAUCAUUGAAUUCAGAAGCAGGUGAGGAGAAAGAGGAUGCUCUGUCCCAGAGUCUUGCACAUCCUGGAGUUGAUGUGCUUCCGGAAAUGAACUGGGUGUUGAGAAAGUGAUCCAAGUGAGAAGGAAUCGGAUGCAUAAUCAUCGGUGUUUCCCCACAGAUCUUAAUUCCUUAAAGUAAGAACCAGAGAGUCAGAUGCUGGGAAACCAAGAGGCUGUAUUCCCACUUUGAGAAACAAAGCUGCAAGAACCUAGAGCACUGGGGAGCUAAAUCCCAUAGAAAUCUUCAAUCUGGGAUUUCAGAUUGCUUAAUCAUGUGUGGAAAAAUGGAUAGUCUCCAAUGAUCUAGAAGUAAUUAUUUAAUGAUUAACUGUGUUUGUAAAUUAAAUGUUCAACCUGAGGAUAG